UUCUAAAAGGGGAGGUUGAGGACGGUUCCAAGAGGUUAGAGCAGUUGUAGUGUUAUAACCCCACUACCGCCAUAAAAGCAGAGGAGAAAUAGCAAGAACGAGAGCCAACUCUUCAAGAAUUAGCGACUUUAAGUACAGGAAAUUCAAGAAUUCAAAACAAAGUAUUGACAAAUCGAAAUGGACAUUAAUGUCGUUUCACAAGUUAAGUUUUAGUGAAUACGAGAUCUUAGGUGCUCUUGAUGAGGAUAAUGUGAUCAGCGUGGUGCGUCGGGUCGGGAAAGGUUUACAGAGUUGUUUUGAGCAAUGGUGAGGUCGUGACUGUUAAGAAGCUUUGGGGCGGUUCCAAAAAGGGCGAAGAUGAGGAUCUUGAGAACGGGUUGGGCUCAGGCUCGGUUGUUGAUAACGGAUUUGAGGCUGAAGUGGAGACAUUAGGGCGGAUCCGUCACAAGAACAUUGUUCGACUUUGGUGUUGUUGCUCUACAAAAACUUGUGAACUUCUUGUGUACGAGUAUAUGCCGAAUGGUAGUUUGGGGGAUUUACUUCAUAGUACUAAAAGCGGGUUACACGGUUGGCCCAUACGGUA